GACGAACGCUGGCGGCGUGCUUAACACAUGCAAGUCGAACGAAGAGCGAUGGAAGCUUGCUUCUAUCAAUCUUAGUGGCGAACGGGUGAGUAACGCGUAAUCAACCUGCCCUUCAGAGGGGGACAACAGUUGGAAACGACUGCUAAUACCGCAUACGAUCUAAUCUCGGCAUCGAGGAUAGAUGAAAGGUGGCCUCUACAUGUAAGCUAUCACUGAAGGAGGGGAUUGCGUCUGAUUAGCUAGUUGGAGGGGUAACGGCCCACCAAGGCGAUGAUCAGUAGCCGGUCUGGGAGGAUGAACGGCCACAUUGGGACUGAGACACGGCCCAGACUCCUACGGGAGGCAGCAGUGGGGAAUCUUCCGCAAUGGACGAAAGUCUGACGGAGCAACGCCGCGUGAGUGAUGACGGCCUUCGGGUUGUAAAGCUCUGUUAAUCGGGACGAAAGGCCUUUUUGCGAAUAGUGAGAAGGAUAG
rnacentral:rRNA from 1 species